rnacentral:SRP_RNA from 1 species
GCUGGGCGUGGUAGCGCAUGCCUGUAAUCCCAGCUACUGGGGAGGCUGAGGCAGGAGAAUCGUUUGAACCUGGGAAGCAGAGGUUGCAGUGAGCUGAGAUCGUGCCACUGCAUUCCAGCCUGGGUGACAGAGCAAGACUCUGUCUCCA